rnacentral:rRNA from 1 species
UACGUAGGGCGCAAGCGUUGUCCGGAAUUAUUGGGCGUAAAGCGCUCGUAGGCGGCCUGUUGCGUCCGCUGUGAAAUCCCGGGGCUCAACCCCGGGCCUGCAGUGGAUACGGGCUGGCUAGAGGCAGGCAGGGGAGAACGGAAUUCCUGGUGUAGCGGUGAAAUGCGCAGAUAUCAGGAGGAACACCGGUGGCGAAGGCGGUUCUCUGGGCCUGUACUGACGCUGAGGAGCGAAAGCGUGGGGAGCGAACAGG